CUACGGGCGGCACCAGUGGGGAAUCUUGGACAAUGGGCGCAAGCCUGAUCCAGCCAUGCCGCGUGAGUGAUGAAGGCCUUAGGGUCGUAAAGCUCUUUCGCCAGGGAUGAUAAUGACAGUACCUGGUAAAGAAACCCCGGCUAACUCCGUGCCAGCAGCCGCGGUAAUACGGAGGGGGUUAGCGUUGUUCGGAAUUACUGGGCGUAAAGCGCGCGUAGGCGGACCAGAAAGUUGGGGGUGAAAUCCCGGGGCUCAACCCCGGAACGGCCUUCAAAACUCCUGGUCUUGAGUUCGAGAGAGGUGAGUGGAACUCCGAGUGUAGAGGUGAAAUUCGUAGAUAUUCGGAGGAACACCAGUGGCGAAGGCGACUCACUGGCUCGAUACUGACGCUGAGGUGCGAAAGUGUGGGGAGCAAACAGGAUUAGAUACCCUGGUAGUC
rnacentral:rRNA from 1 species